rnacentral:rRNA from 1 species
UACGUAGGAGGCGAGCGUUGUCCGGAUUUACUGGGCGUAAAGGGCGCGCAGGCGGCACGCUAAGUCCCUCGUGAAAUCUCCCUGCUCAACGGGGAGGGAGCGAAGUAGACUGGCGAGCUAGAGGACGGUAGAGGGGGGUAGAAUUGCUGGUGUAGCGGUGAAAUGCGUAGAGAUCAGCAGGAAUACCCGUGGCGAAGGCGGCCCCCUGGGCCGAACCUGACGCUGAGGCGCGAAGGCUAGGGGAGCGAACGGG